UUACUAGAGUCCUUAGAUCAAAAUCACUCUUAAAUCCACUUAAGUCUUAAAGACAACAAAGAAAACACAAAGCAAAGAAAGGACACAACCUAAACUCUAAAUUCGGACCCCUAAAAGAGCUUCCUAUUCGCACAAGAUAUAUGCUAUCUAGUCGAGAAUUGGAAAAACAAUUAAAGUGAGGUCUCCUAGGUGAGGCUUAGACUUUGGAUCUAAGACACACUCACCGACUACUCAAUUUUAGGUUGUGAGACUUCUUUGAGUCUAGUUACAAAUGAGGGAAGAGCACUUGUGAACUCUAUCACCUCACUUGCUUGGAUUUGGAACUU
rnacentral:lncRNA from 1 species